rnacentral:rRNA from 1 species
CACGUAGGGGGCAAGCGUUGUCCGGAAUCAUUGGGCGUAAAGAGCUCGUAGGCGGCUCAGUAAGUCGGGUGUGAAACCCUCAGGCUCAACCUGGGGACGCCACCCGAUACUGCUGUGGCUAGAGUCCAGUAGGGGAGUGUGGAAUUCCCGGUGUAGCGGUGAAAUGCGCAGAUAUCGGGAGGAACACCAGCGGCGAAGGCGGCACUCUGGGCUGGUACUGACGCUGAGGAGCGAAAGCUAGGGGAGCAAACGGG